GUAUUCGUGGUGUAAAUAGUUAGCACUCCCGACUGGCAAUCGGAAGGCCCGGAGUUCGAAUCUCGGCGAGGGCA
rnacentral:tRNA from 1 species